AUUGAACGCUGGCGGCAGGCCUAACACAUGCAAGUCGAACGGUAGCACAGAGAGCUUGCUCUCGGGUGCCGAGUGGCGGACGGGUGAGUAAUGUCUGGGAAACUGCCCGAUGGAGGGGGAUAACUACUGGAAACGGUAGCUAAUACCGCAUAAUGUCGCAAGACCAAAGAGGGGGACCUUCGGGCCUCUUGCCAUCGGAUGUGCCCAGAUGGGAUUAGCUAGUUGGUGAGGUAAUGGCUCACCAAGGCGACGAUCCCUAGCUGGUCUGAGAGGAUGACCAGCCACACUGGAACUGAGACACGGUCCAGACUCCUACGGGAGGCAGCAGUGGGGAAUAUUGCACAAUGGGCGCAAGCCUGAUGCAGCCAUGCCGCGUGUAUGAAGAAGGCCUUCGGGUUGUAAAGUACUUUCAGCGGGGAGGAAGGCGAUACGGUUAAUAACCGUAUUGAUUGACGUUACCCGCAGAAGAAGCACCGGCUAACUCCGUG
rnacentral:rRNA from 1 species